rnacentral:rRNA from 1 species
UAACAAGGAUUCCCUUAGUAGCUGCGAGCGAAACGGGAAGAGCCCAGCGCUGAAUCCCCUCAGGGUAUCCCUGUGCGUGGAAAUGUAGCGUUAAGGAGUGUCUGUUAACACGGCGUCUCGCAUCUCGCUCAAGUCCAACUUGAACGGGGCCACACAGAGGGUGAUAUGCCCGUGUAGCAGUUGCGUGCGUCGUGUAGGCAUCUCCUCAGAGUCGGUUUGCUUGAAAGUGCAGACCUAAGUGGGUGGUAAACUCCAUCUAAGGCUAAAUAUGACCACGAGACCGAUAGCACACAAGUACCGUGAGGGAAAGGUGAAAAGAACUUUGAAAAGAGAGUUCAAGAGUACGUGAAACUGAGCUGAUGAAAGCGGACGGAAUCGAAAAGUGCGAACAGAGUUGACUCACGCCGACCUCUGCGGCAUACUGGGUUGGAGACGGUGUUGGAUAAGUCUGCAAAGAUGGUUCCGCAUUGCUUCAUAUCUGGCCAUGUCCAAGGGGGGAAGCUGCACUUCUGCUUAGUAGCACGUCGCGGCUCGUUGGGUGUCGGCCUAAGGCCCGCGGUGGAGACUUCACCUUGUGUGUUGACCCGUGGAUGCCCGGCCGGCGCUCGACGGUGCUAUGGAAAGACCGGACUAAAAAGCCCUUCGGGGAGUCGCAUACUAAGGAUGCUAGCCUGGUCUGUCCGCGGCGCUUCUGCUUUCGAUCCCCGUCCGACCCGUCUUGAAACACGGACCAAGGAGCCUAGCAUGUGCGCGAGUCACUGGGCUUACUAAACCCAAAGGCGAAAUGAAAGUAAAGGACGGAGUAAUCUGGACUUAGGGGUGAUGGUCGCGCUCUCAUGCCGGCCCGCAACCCCGGGGCAUUGCAUUCUCUUGAGAAGCAAUGCACCUUGAGCGCACAUGUUGGUACCCGAAAGAUGGUGAACUAUGCCUGGCCAGGGUGAAGUCAGGGGAAACCCUGGUGGAAGCCCGUAGCGAUUCUGACGUGCAAAUCGAUCGUCAGAGCUGGGUAUAGGGGCGAAAGACUAAUCGAACCAUCUAGUAGCUGGUUCCCUCUGAAGUUUCCCUCAGGAUAGCUGGCACUCGGAUAAAAUCUCAUCCGGUAAAGCGAAUGAUUAGAGAGUUCGGGGCCGAAACGGCCUCGACCUAUUCUCAAACUUUAAAUGGGUGAGAACUCUGGCUUUUUUGGCUGAAGUACAGAGUCUCACGGAUUUUGAGUGCCUAGUGGGCCAAUUUUGGUAAGCAGAACUGGCGCUGUGGGAUGAACCAAACGCGGAGUUAAAGCGCCUAAGACGACGCUGAUGGGAUACCAGAAAAGGUGUUGGUUGCUGAAGACAGCAGGACGGUGGCCAUGGAAGUUGGAAUCCGCUAAGGAGUGUGUAACAACUCACCUGCCGAAGCAACUAGCCCUGAAAAUGGAUGGCGCUGAAGCGUCGCGCUUAUACUCCGCCGUCAUUGCAAAUGGCCACUUGUGGUCUUGAAGCAUUGAUGAGUAAGAGGGUCGCGUGGGUGUGCGCAGAAGGGUCUGGGCGUGAGCCUGCCUGGAGCCGCCCACGGUGCAGAUCUUGGUGGUAGUAGCAAAUACUCUGGAGGGUCCUUGGAGGACUGAGGUGGAGAAGGGCUCCGCGACAACAGUUGUUGCUCGCGAGUUAGUCGAUCCUAAGCCUAAAGAGAAAUCUUUAGUAUGGUUCAGCCUUUCGGUUGCCAUCGGGCGAAAGGGAAUUCGGUAACCAUUCCGGAACCAGAGUUCAGAGCCGUUUAUCAGGUCCUCGUUACUUGUCACGGUGACGUGAAUUGCCCCAGAGACGCCUUCGGGUGCUGCCAGGGGAGUUUUCUUUUCUCUUUAAGCUGGCGUAAUCCAUGGAAUUCUUUCGCAGAGAGAUAUGGACCGGCCUAGCGAAGAGUAUCGCACUUGCUGCGGUAUUGGCAGUUACUCCUAGGACCUUGAAAAUCUGGGUGAGGGCCACGGAUAGCCUCUGACUCUGAUCGUA